rnacentral:rRNA from 1 species
GUGGGGAAUUUUGGACAAUGGGCGCAAGCCUGAUCCAGCCAUGCCGCGUGAGUGAAGAAGGCCUUCGGGUUGUAAAGCUCUUUCGGCCGGGAAGAAAUCGGCGACUCUAACAUAGUCGCUGGAUGACGGUACCGGACUAAGAAGCACCGGCUAACUACGUGCCAGCAGCCGCGGUAAUACGUAGGGUGCGAGCGUUAAUCGGAAUUACUGGGCGUAAAGCGUGCGCAGGCGGUUUUGUAAGACAGAUGUGAAAUCCCCGGGCUUAACCUGGGAACUGCGUUUGUGACUGCAAGGCUAGAGUACGGCAGAGGGGGGUGGAAUUCCUGGUGUAGCAGUGAAAUGCGUAGAUAUCAGGAGGAACACCGAUGGCGAAGGCAGCCCCCUGGGCCUGUACUGACGCUCAUGCACGAAAGCGUGGGGAGCAAACAGGAUUAGAAACCCUAGUAGUCC